rnacentral:rRNA from 1 species
GUCCACACUGUAAACGAUGAAGACUCGAUGUUGGGCCAUUAGGUUCAGCGUCUUAGCGAAAGCGUUAAGUCUUCCACCUGGGGAGUACGCCGGCAACGGUGAAACUCAAAGGAAUUGACGGGGUCCGCACAAGCGGUGGAGCAUGUGGUUUAAUUCGACGAUACGCGAGGAACCUUACCCGGGCUAGAAUGUGAAGGAAUGUAUCAGAAAUGGUGCAGUCAGCAAUGACCUGAAACAAGGUGCUGCAUGGCUGUCGU